rnacentral:rRNA from 1 species
CGGCGUGCCUAACACGAUGCAAGUCGUACGAGAAAGUUGGCUUCGGCCGAUGAGUACAGUGGCGCACGGGUGAGUAACGCGUGGAUAAUCUGCCCUUAAGUGUGGAAUAACGUACCGAAAGGUGGCGCUAAUACCGCAUAAUGCCUGGCAACAUAAGUUGUCCGGCCAAAGAAGGCCUCUGCUUGCAAGCUUUCGCUAAAGGAUGAGUCCGCGUACCAUUAGCUAGUUGUGGGGUAACGGCCUACCAAGGCGACGAUGGUUAGCUGGUCUGAGAGGAUGAUCAGCCACACUGGAACUGAGACACGGUCCAGACUCCUACGGGAGGCAGCAGUGAGGAAUAUUGCGCAAUGGGGGCAACCCUGACGCAGCAACGCCGCGUGAGUGAGGAAGGUUUUCGGACUGUAAAGCUCUGUCGAGCGGGAAGAAGUGUACCAUGGCUAAUAUCCAUGAUAUUUGACGGUACCGCUAGAGGAAGCACCGGCUAACUCCGUG